AGUUAGAGCCAUAUCACCCUGCAGCCCAAGACCGGUUACUCACUGAAGCUAAGCAGGGCUGAGCCUGGUCAGUACCUGGAUGGGAGACCACUAGGGAACACUAGGUUGCUGUUGGAA
rnacentral:rRNA from 1 species